rnacentral:rRNA from 1 species
UAAUACGGAGGGUCCGAGCGUUGUCCGGAAUCAUUGGGUUUAAAGGGUCCGCAGGCGGUCAAUUAAGUCAGAGGUGAAAUACCAUAGCUCAACUAUGGAACUGCCUUUGAUACUGGUUGACUUGAGUCAUAUGGAAGUAGAUAGAAUGUGUAGUGUAGCGGUGAAAUGCAUAGAUAUUUCACAGAAUACCGAUUGCGAAGGCAGUCUACUACGUAUGUACUGACGCUGAGGGACGAAAGCGUGGGGAGCGAACAGGAUUAGAUACCCUGGUAGUCCACGCCGUAAACGAUGGAUACUAGUUGUUGGGCAUUAGCUCAGCGACUAAGCGAAAGUGAUAAGUAUCCCACCUGGGGAGUACGGUCGCAAGACUG